GAUGAACGCUGGCGGCGUGCCUAAUACAUGCAAGUCGAGCGAACAGACGAGGAGCUUGCUCCUUUGACGUUAGCGGCGGACGGGUGAGUAACACGUAGUUAACCUACCUAUAAGUCUGGGAUAACUUCGGGAAACCGGAGCUAAUACCGGAUAAUAUUUCGAACCGCAUGGUUCGAUAUUGAAAGAUGGCUUUGCUAUCACUUAUAGAUGGAUCUGCGCCGUAUUAGCUAGUUGUUAAGGUAACGGCUUACCAAGGCAACGAUACGUAGCCGACCUGAGAGGGUGAUCGGCCACACUGGAACUGAGACACGGUCCAGACUCCUACGGGAGGCAGCAGUAGGGAAUCUUCCGCAAUGGGCGAAAGCCUGACGGAGCAACGCCGCGUGAGUGAUGAAGGUCUUCGGAUCGUAAAACUCUGUUAUUAGGGAAGAACAAACGUGUAAGUAACUGUGCACGUCUUGACGGUACCUAAUCAGAAAGCCACGGCUAACUACGUG
rnacentral:rRNA from 1 species